AACGUAGGAACCGAGCGUUAUCCGAAUUUACUGGGCGUAAAGCGCGUGCAGGCGGUUUGGUAAGUUAGAUGUGAAAGCUCCUGGCUUAACUAGGAGAGGCCGUUUAAAACUGCCAGGCUAGAGGACGGUAGAGGGGGUGGAAUUCCCGGUGUAGUGGUGAAAUGCGUAGAUAUCGGGAGGAACACCAGUGGCGAAGGCGGCCCCCUGGGCCGUUACUGACGCUGAUACGCGAAAGCUAGGGAGCAAACGGG
rnacentral:rRNA from 1 species